AAAUUAUUUUACUAAACAUUUUUAUUUCAUCUCAUUCAAAAACUGUAUAUUUCUAUUAUUGGUGAAAUCUACUUUCAAAUCUCUUGCUUCCAACACGCUUAUGUGAAUUUACUUUUAUCAGGGACUGUCAAAAUAAAUCAUCGAAAAAUAAUUAUUUAAAGUUAUAUAUAACCAGUAUGGGCGAUUUGAACAAUGGGGCAUACAAAAAGCCGAGGUCAACUAUGCCAAC
rnacentral:lncRNA from 1 species